CCAGCCCUAUACACGAGAGGGGGACUAUAUAAGAAUCAAUGGAGCUGUCACUACCACGAACUACCCCGCGAUCUGGCAUAUAGGGUACAAUUGCAGAUAAAUACGGUAUAAGCACCACGCCUACACAAUAUCUAUCAUUUACCUAUGGAUCCGAUGGAUAAACACUAUACGAUCCUAAACAUGUAUAUAAUUCCAAUCUAACUAAGCCAAGU
rnacentral:lncRNA from 1 species